CCAGAUUUGACAUCAUCCCUCUUCUGCGCCAGAAGGAACAAUUAGUCCUUCCAUAAAUAGAUCAAUAUUCGCUCAUGCUGUAGACUAUGGAAUCCAAUCUGUAGUAUCCUUUCUGCAUGUUGGCACCAAGCCUACCUCAUGAAACCAGCAAUGGGCAUUUUUCUAAUUCUACUUUCAAAGUGGAACAGCAGUACAGCUAUGGCAGAGCACACCCACCGGGUUUAGGGACAACCUCCUUGCCUUUUCAAGCAGGGCUCAUCGCAAAGAUGUGCAGAUGCAACCGGCUAUUGCUCAUAUUUUGGCUUUAUUUUCCAAGAAAAUAAAAU
rnacentral:lncRNA from 1 species